rnacentral:rRNA from 1 species
GAUGAGCCCGCGUACCAUUAGCUAGUUGGUAGGGUAAUGGCCUACCAAGGCUACGAUGGUUAGCUGGUCUGAGAGGAUGAUCAGCCACACUGGAACUGACACACGGUCCAGACUCCUACGGGAGGCAGCAGUGAGGAAUUUUGCGCAAUGGGGGAAACCCUGACGCAGCAACGCCGCGUGAGUGAUGAAGGCUUUCGGGUCGUAAAGCUCUGUCAAGUGGGAAGAACCUGCUUUAUGAUAAUACCAUGAAGCACUGACGGUACCACUGAAGGAAGCACCGGCUAACUCCGUGCCAGCAGCCGCGGUAAUACGGGGGGUGCUAGCGUUAUUCGGAAUCAUUGGGCGUAAAGGGCGCGUAGGCGGUCUCUUAAGUCAGAUGUGAAAGCCCUCGGCUUAACCGAGGAAGUGCAUUUGAUACUAAGUGACUUGAGUAUGGGAGAGGGAAGCGGAAUUCCUGGUGUAGCGGUGAAAUGCGUAGAUAUCAGGAGGAACACCGGUGGCGAAGGCGGCUUCCUGGACCAAUACUGACGCUGAGGCGCGAAGGCGUGGGGAGCAAACGGGAUUAGAUACCCUGGUAGUCCACGCAGUAAA